CUUCGUUCUUGGCAUGCAUGCUGUUUCCCCAGUCGUGUGUGUGUGUGUGUGUGUGUGUGUGUGUGUGUGUGUGUGUGUGUGUGUGUGUUGAGGCACAAAAAGGUGCAAUGCUAUGUCUUCAGUGCCAGGAUGUUUCUUGUCUUCUGGUUCUAUUCUCAGUCGCUGGUACACUA
rnacentral:snoRNA from 13 species